rnacentral:sRNA from 1 species
GCUGGGCAUGGUAGUGCAUGCCUGAAAUUCCAGCUAAUCUGGAGGCUGAGGCAGGAGGAUUGCAAGUUUGAGGCCAGCCUGGGCAAUUUAGUAAGAUCCUGUCUUAA